GGGCGCUGGCCGGGGGCGCCCGGGCGGUAGGAUCGCCCCGCGUCCGUGCGCCCGUCGGCUCCGUCCGGCGGUGCCCC
rnacentral:tRNA from 1 species